AUUGAACGCUGGCGGCAGGCCUAACACAUGCAAGUCGAGCGGGGUUUUCGGACCUAGCGGCGGACGGGUGAGUAAUGCGUAGGAAGCUACCCGACAGAGGGGGGAUACCAGUUGGAAACGACUGUUAAUACCCGCAUAAUGUCUACGGACCAAAGUGUGGGACCCUUGGGCCACAUGCUGUCGGAUGCGCCUACGUGGGAUUAGCUAGUUGGUGAGGUAAUGGCUCACCAAGGCGACGAUCCCUAGCUGGUUUGAG
rnacentral:rRNA from 1 species